rnacentral:rRNA from 1 species
GACGAACGCUGGCGGCGUGCCUAAUACAUGCAAGUAGAACGCUGAAGGAGGAGCUUGCUUCUCUGGAUGAGUUGCGAACGGGUGAGUAACGCGUAGGUAACCUGCCUGGUAGCGGGGGAUAACUAUUGGAAACGAUAGCUAAUACCGCAUAAGAGUAGAUGUUGCAUGACAUUUGCUUAAAAGGUGCAAUUGCAUCACUACCAGAUGGACCUGCGUUGUAUUAGCUAGUUGGUGAGGUAACGGCUCACCAAGGCGACGAUACAUAGCCGACCCGAGAGGGUGAUCGGCCACACUGGGACUGAGACACGGCCCAGACUCCUACGGGAGGCAGCAGUAGGGAAUCUUCGGCAAUGGACGGAAGUCUGACCGAGCAACGCCGCGUGAGUGAAGAAGGUUUUCGGAUCGUAAAGCUCUGUUGUAAGAGAAGAACGAGUGUGAGAGUGGAAAGUUCACACUGUGACGGUAUCUUACCAGAAAGGGACGGCUAACUACGUG